rnacentral:rRNA from 1 species
GGUUAAGCGACUAAGCGUACACGGUGGAUGCCCUGGCAGUCAGAGGCGAUGAAGGACGUGCUAAUCUGCGAAAAGCGUCGGUAAGGUGAUAUGAACCGUUAUAACCGGCGAUGUCCGAAUGGGGAAACCCAGUGUGAUUCGUCACACUAUCGUUAACUGAAUACAUAGGUUAACGAGGCGAACCGGGGGAACUGAAACAUCUAAGUACCCCGAGGAAAAGAAAUCAACCGAGAUUCCCCCAGUAGCGGCGAGCGAACGGGGAGCAGCCCAGAGUCUGAAUCAGCUUGUGUGUUAGUGGAACGGUCUGGAAAGUCCGACGGUACAGGGUGAUAGUCCCGUACACCAAAAUGCACAGGCUGUGAACUCGAAGAGUAGGGCGGGACACGUGGUAUCCUGUCUGAAUAUGGGGGGACCAUCCUCCAAGGCUAAAUACUCCUGACUGACCGAUAGUGAACCAGUACCGUGAGGGAAAGGCGAAAAGAACCCCGGCGAGGGGAGUGAAAAAGAACCUGAAACCGUGUACGUACAAGCAGUGGGAGCACCUUCGGGUGUGACUGCGUACCUUUUGUAUAAUGGGUCAGCGACUUAUAUUCUGUAGCAAGGUUAACCGUAUAGGGGAGCCGCAGGGAAACCGAGUCUUAACUGGGCGUUAAGUUGCAGGGUAUAGACCCGAAACCCGGUGAUCUAGCCAUGGGCAGGUUGAAGGUUGGGUAACACUAACUGGAGGACCGAACCGACUAAUGUUGAAAAAUUAGCGGAUGACUUGUGGCUGGGGGUGAAAGGCCAAUCAAACCGGGAGAUAGCUGGUUCUCCCCGAAAGCUAUUUAGGUAGCGCCUCGUGAAUUCAUCUUCGGGGGUAGAGCACUGUUUCGGCUAGGGGGUCAUCCCGACUUACCAACCCGAUGCAAACUACGAAUACCGAAGAAUGUUAUCACGGGAGACACACGGCGGGUGCUAACGUCCGUCGUGAAGAGGGAAACAACCCAGACCGCCAGCUAAGGUCCCAAAGUCAUGGUUAAGUGGGAAACGAUGUGGGAAGGCACAGACAGCCAGGAUGUUGGCUUAGAAGCAGCCAUCAUUUAAAGAAAGCGUAAUAGCUCACUGGUCGAGUCGGCCUGCGCGGAAGAUGUAACGGGGCUAAACCAUGCACCGAAGCUGCGGCAGCGACACUAUGUGUUGUUGGGUAGGGGAGCGUUCUGUAAGCCUGCGAAGGUGUGCUGUGAGGCAUGCUGGAGGUAUCAGAAGUGCGAAUGCUGACAUAAGUAACGAUAAAGCGGGUGAAAAGCCCGCUCGCCGGAAGACCAAGGGUUCCUGUCCAACGUUAAUCGGGGCAGGGUGAGUCGACCCCUAAGGCGAGGCCGAAAGGCGUAGUCGAUGGGAAACAGGUUAAUAUUCCUGUACUUGGUGUUACUGCGAAGGGGGGACGGAGAAGGCUAUGUUAGCCGGGCGACGGUUGUCCCGGUUUAAGCAUGUAGGCUGAUUAUCCAGGCAAAUCCGGAUAAUCAAGGCUGAGGUGUGAUGACGAGGCACUACGGUGCUGAAGUAACAAAUGCCCUGCUUCCAGGAAAAGCCUCUAAGCAUCAGGUAACAUCAAAUCGUACCCCAAACCGACACAGGUGGUCAGGUAGAGAAUACCAAGGCGCUUGAGAGAACUCGGGUGAAGGAACUAGGCAAAAUGGUGCCGUAACUUCGGGAGAAGGCACGCUGGUGUGUAGGUGAAGUCCCUGCGGAUGGAGCUGAGACCAGUCGAAGAUACCAGCUGGCUGCAACUGUUUAUUAAAAACACAGCACUGUGCAAACACGAAAGUGGACGUAUACGGUGUGACGCCUGCCCGGUGCCGGAAGGUUAAUUGAUGGGGUUAUCCGUAAGGAGAAGCUCUUGAUCGAAGCCCCGGUAAACGGCGGCCGUAACUAUAACGGUCCUAAGGUAGCGAAAUUCCUUGUCGGGUAAGUUCCGACCUGCACGAAUGGCGUAAUGAUGGCCAGGCUGUCUCCACCCGAGACUCAGUGAAAUUGAACUCGCUGUGAAGAUGCAGUGUACCCGCGGCAAGACGGAAAGACCCCGUGAACCUUUACUAUAGCUUGACACUGAACAUUGAGCCUUGAUGUGUAGGAUAGGUGGGAGGCUUUGAAGCGUGGACGCCAGUCUGCGUGGAGCCAACCUUGAAAUACCACCCUUUAAUGUUUGAUGUUCUAACGUUGGCCCCUUACCGGGGUUGCGGACAGUGUCUGGUGGGUAGUUUGACUGGGGCGGUCUCCUCCCAAAGCGUAACGGAGGAGCACGAAGGUUAGCUAAUCCUGGUCGGACAUCAGGAGGUUAGUGCAAUGGCAUAAGCUAGCUUGACUGCGAGCGUGACGGCGCGAGCAGGUGCGAAAGCAGGUCAUAGUGAUCCGGUGGUUCUGAAUGGAAGGGCCAUCGCUCAACGGAUAAAAGGUACUCCGGGGAUAACAGGCUGAUACCGCCCAAGAGUUCAUAUCGACGGCGGUGUUUGGCACCUCGAUGUCGGCUCAUCACAUCCUGGGGCUGAAGUAGGUCCCAAGGGUAUGGCUGUUCGCCAUUUAAAGUGGUACGCGAGCUGGGUUUAGAACGUCGUGAGACAGUUCGGUCCCUAUCUGCCGUGGGCGCUGGAGAAUUGAGGGGGGCUGCUCCUAGUACGAGAGGACCGGAGUGGACGCAUCACUGGUGUUCGGGUUGUCAUGCCAAUGGCACUGCCCGGUAGCUAAAUGCGGAAGAGAUAAGUGCUGAAAGCAUCUAAGCACGAAACUUGCCCCGAGAUGAGUUCUCCCUGAGACUUUAAGUCUCCUGAAGGAACGUUGAAGACGACGACGUUGAUAGGCCGGGUGUGUAAGCGCAGCGAUGCGUUGAGCUAACCGGUACUAAUGAACCGUGAGGCUUAACCUU